CUAAUACCAAAUGUGCCCUCUGGCCGCAAGGCCUGUGGGGAAAGGAAGCUUCGGCCUCCGCAUCGGGAUGGGCCCGCGGCCCAUUAGCUUGUUGGUGAGGUAAUGGCUCACCAAGGCGACGAUGGGUAGCUGGUCUGAGAGGACGAUCAGCCACACUGGGACUGAGACACGGCCCAGACUCCUACGGGAGGCAGCAGUGGGGAAUCUUGCGCAAUGCGCGAAAGCGUGACGCAACAACGCCGCGUGGGGGAAGAAGGACUUCGGGUUGCAAACCCCUUUCAGUUUGGGACGUAGCUUCCCCGGUGUAUUAGCCGGCUGGAGUGACGGGUACCUUCAGAAGUAGCCCCGGCUUACUACGUGCCAGCAGCCGCGGUAAUACGUAGGGGGCUAGCGUUUUCCGGUAUCAUUGGGCGUAAAGAGCGUGUAGGCGGCUCGGUUAGUCCGCUCUGUUAGCCCGGGGCUCAACCCCGGGAGGCGGGCGGAUUCUGUCGGGCUAGAGUCCGGAAGAGGCGAGUGGAAUUCCUGGUGUAGCGGUGAAAUGCGCAGAUAUCAGGAGGAACACCAAUGGCGAAGGCAGCUCGCUGGGACGGUACUGACGCUGAGACGCGAAAGCGUGGGGAGCAAACA
rnacentral:rRNA from 1 species